AUUGAACGCUGGCGGCAUGCCUUACACAUGCAAGUCGAACGGCAGCACGGGGCAACCUGGUGGCGAGUGGCGAACGGGUGAGUAAUGCAUCGGAACGUACCUUUCAGUGGGGGAUAACGUAGCGAAAGUUACGCUAAUACCGCAUAUUCUGUGAGCAGGAAAGCAGGGGAUCGCAAGACCUUGCGCUGAUUGAGCGGCCGAUGUCAGAAUUAGCUAGUUGGUGAGGUAAAGGCUCACCAAGGCGACGAUCUGUAGCGGGUCUGAGAGGAUGAUCCGCCACACUGGAACUGAGACACGGUCCAGACUCCUAAGGGAGGCAGCAGUGGGGAAUUUUGGACAAUGGGGGCAACCCUGAUCCAGCCAUUCCGCGUGAGUGAAGAAGGCCUUCGGGUUGUAAAGCUCUUUCGCAAGGGAAGAAACGAUACAGUCGAAUAAACUGUGUUAAUGACGGUGCCUUGAUAAGAAGCACCGGCUAACUACGUGCCAGCCGCCGCAGUAACAC
rnacentral:rRNA from 1 species